AAGCAGAAGAAUAUCGGAAAGGAUGAUACACAGAAAAUGGAGCUUGCUAACUGGUCCCGCUGCUAUUCUCGGCGGUAUCGUUGGUACUAUUGUCGUUGCCAACUUUAUCUUCGUUCAAAAUGAUCCAUUCCUUAAGCCAGAACGGAAGCUGGAGAAGGCACCUUCAACCAAGUAAAAAUAAUUAGAUGUGUGAGAUUGUCUGGUUUGAGGUUUCCGCUUGUUAGGUCUGUCGUUACAUUUUGGCCAAAUAAAGUGAAUAUUUGACAUCAGCUUGAAUGUAGGUUUCCAUUCGUUGUUUAUGUUGACUUUGUUGUGGACUCAUUCAAGUCUCUUCAUAAAAUAUGAAACUAUGCCCUCAAACAAAAGUUAGGUUGGAA